rnacentral:tRNA from 1 species
GGCUGUGUGGUCUAGUGGUAUGAUUCUCGUUUAGGGUGCGAGAGGUCCCGAGUUCAAUUCUCGGCACAGCCC